CAAACUGAGAAAACUAACCUUAAAACUCCAGCCUCCUGAGAAAAGAGAAACGCAGAGAAAAGAGAGAAAGCUAAACCCCGCGAGGAAGAAGAAGGGAAGGAGAGGGAGAAGAGCGCGCCGGCGUCGCGCCUCACCGACGUAGAGCCCAUCACACGCGUCGCCGCUGUCAUGUCAUCGUCAAUCUGAACCGUGCGAGGGAGAGAGCUGCUGCUGCGGGAAACGCGAUGGUGGAGAGGACGCCGCCAGCUCUGUCGCGCCUGAUCGCUGUCGAGCUCGCCUUCGAAGACGCCACCGCCGUCACUGUCAAACCUAGCCGUCGCAGUCGCCGUCGACGCUGUGGCAAAGAAGGAAGAAGGAUGCGCGAACAGAAGAGGGAGAAGGAAGCUGCGAAGCCGUCGCCGUUUCUGCUCGGGGUUGUCACCGCUUCUGAAGAAGACGCGUCCGAGAGAGAGAGAACCAGGGGAGUGACGCGCGAAGGAUGCUCUGACGGAGAAGGAGGAGAACGAGGCUGUCUCAUCGCCAAUGAUUAGAAGUUGCUACUGUUGAUGGGAUGAACAGAACGUGAAGAGGGAGGAGAAAUUCGCAGAGGAGAGGGAGGUUUUGCCGCCGCACCGCUGGUCGCCGGGGAACACCGCCAUUGACGCCGGAAAAUACCACUAUUGGAGCCACUGUCCUUGCUCAGCCCCUGUUUCUGCUGCUGUUUACGCUGGUUCAGCCAUUGCCGCCACAACCCGUCUCGAAUUUCUUCUAAUUUGGACACUCAGAGGGUGCUGCUACUCUAAAUGAUUGGAAGAUGGUCAUCGCUGUUUGAAAAGAGCAAUGCAUCAGAAUUUCACUGUUUGGUUUGAGUUCCUACUCUGUCAUCUGCUGCUGUUCCGUACUCUCCUCUCCGCUUGCGUCCACUAUGCCAUCCCCCACCUCGUCCGCUGAGGUUCGGUUACGUGGCUGGGAAUUCUGAGUUGAUUCUCUCAAUGGCCUAAAUGACUCAAGUAAAAUUGCUGCAUUUGAUUUUGAUGGCCUGAAUGACUCAAGUAAAAAUCUUAGAAUUCUGGAGAAGAUUGCCCAAAUAUUCAAAAAGGAUUUGAAGUUUGGUGGAGAAGAACUUUCUGGAAGCGGAAUGGAGAGUAAGAAUAGUCAAGACAAUUACGAAUUACAGCUACAACAGUUGAUAAUCCUUGAAGACAGACAGUCCCAGCAUGGUGGAAUUGACAGCAUUCUACUGGGUGUGUCUCCUUUUAACGUUCUCUUGAUCACUUCAAUUUCUAUUUAAUUCCUCUGUGUUGACCAGCAUUUCAACCUUGGUAGCUUACCUGUAAAGCUGCUUGUUUGAAAUGUGAUAGACUCUGUCUUCAUCCAUGAUUGAUUUACCUUGAACAAGUUAGCACCAUUGUAUUUUUUUUUCCUUUAUUCUUUUGGCACUUUUUUGUUUGUUUGUUGUGCAUAUAAUCUAAUCAUUUCAAUAGAAACAACCUGUGAGUAUAGAAUUUAUAGUUCAUGUGGGUACUUGGAAACAUUCUUCUUUUAUCAGUGUGCAUAGUCAUCGAUUUACACUUAGGCUGGUCAUAAUUUGGCUCUAUCUUGAACUGACAACACUACACUCAUGAAGAAUGUUAUUUUUUUUAUUAUGAGACUGUUCUAUCUUCAUUAUGUAUUUAGGGGCAACACAACCUGAGCUUCAGUUGCAAUUUGUUUAGUUCUAAACCUUUUCCAUUCAUACUUAGUCUUGUUUAAUCAUCUCUUUGCAGUUACAUGGAAGAAAUAAGAGUUCAUGUGCUAUCAAUUUAAUUUAGUGCAUAAGAUUUCAUGUUUAACUGGCUAUCGCAAGUUGGGGUUGGUGGUCUAAAGUUUCUGCUUUGUGUGAGAGUCUAUGCUAAGCAAAGCAACUGCUGAUGUUGACAAAGGGGUCCAUGAUGAGUCUGGUUUCUUUUAGGUUUAUGCUAGAAUUAAUUGAUUUUAUGAAUGAUGCAAAGACCUUGUGAUUUUGGUGAAACUUUGAUUGCUUGUUUGGUUGCUUGUAGGUGAAGAAAUGAAGAAAGGAAGAAUCAGGGAAGCGUUGCAUGCAAUUAGAGAAUGCCACGCUCAAAGAGCAAACAUGGCUAGCGUUCACUUCUAAAGUGAGCGCCACGCUCGCUUAGUUACCUUUUUCGUGGAUUUUGAGCUUGGGAGGCAAGCUUGUGCCGUCCGUACGCAAGGUGCAGCGCUCAAUGAGUGAGCGUAGCGCUCAGUAAGGGAGCGCCAAGGAAGGGAAUUGCGCACCAAAGAAGCACCAAAGAGCCAGCGCUCAAUGAGUAAGCGUAGCGCUCAUUAGGGGUGCGCUAAUGAAGAAAAAAGGCACACGAGGGAUGUACGCUGAAGGAAAGGAACGUAGCGCUCACAAAGUGCACGGAGCGCUCUACUGGGAGCAAGCAUGCACCCUGACCCAAGCCACCAAGCACCUCAGAUCCACUUCUUCAAAAUCCUAAAAAGCCCACUCUAAUUGCUCGAGGACUGAAAAUAGAAAGUGUAUAAAUAGGAUCAAAUUUGAUUUGAGGAGGGGCCUUUACUUCACACUUCUCUUUUACUUUUCUUUUUCUCUUAUAAUUUUCUUUUUAGAAUUUUAGAGUUUGAGAUCAGAUCUGGGUUUCCUUUUCUUCUGAGUUUCAUUUUCUUUCUUCUUCAAUUUUAUCUUUUCUGUUUUGACAAGAGAGCAAUUGAGCUCUAGGCUUUCGUUUUGUUUUGUUACUUUACUGAAUUUGUCAAUUUCUCUUUAGGAUUUCACAAUUAAUCUAAGUUUCCUUGCUGUUUUGAAUUCAUCUUCAAUUUACCAUUUCUGUUUUUCUA